GACGAACGCUGGCGGCGUGCCUAAUACAUGCAAGUAGAACGCUGAAGAGAGGAGCUUGCUCUUCUUGGGUGAGUUGCGAGCGGGUGAGUAACGCGUAGGUAACCUGCCUGGUAGCGGGGGAUAACUACUGGAAACGAUAGCUAAUACCGCAUAAUAUUGAUUAUUGCAUGAUAAUUAAUUGAAAGAUGCAACUGCAUCACUAUCAGAUGGACCUGCGUUGUAUUAGCUAGUUGGUGAGGUAACGGCUCACCAAGGCGACGAUACAUAGCCGACCUGAGAGGGGGGUCCGCCACACUGGGACUGAGACACGGCCCAGGCUCCUACGGGAGGCAGCAGGAGGGGAACUUCGGCAAAGGGGGGAAAGCUGACCGGGCAACGCCGCGUGGGGGAAGGAGGGUCUCGGAUCGGAAAGCUCUGUUGUAAGGGAAGAACGGGUGUGGGAGUGGAAAGUUCACACUGUGACGGUAUCUUACCAGAAAGGGACGGCUAACUACGUG
rnacentral:rRNA from 1 species